rnacentral:rRNA from 1 species
AACGCGAAGAACCUUACCUGGGCUCGAAGCGCAGUGGACCGGGGUAGAAAUAUCCCUUCCCCUUAAAAGGCUGCUGCGGAGGUGCUGCAUGGCUGUCGUCAGCUCGUGCCGUGAGGUGUUGGGUUAAGUCCCGCAACGAGCGCAACCCUUACUCCUAGUUGCUACCCGCAAGGGAGAACUCUAGGAGGACUGCUCCGGAUAACGGAGAGGAAGGUGGGGAUGAGGUCAAGUCAGCAUGGCCUUUAUGUCCAGGGCUACACACGUGUUACAAUGCGCGCUACAAAGUGUCGCGAACCCGCGAGGGGGAGCUAAUCGCAAAAAAGCGCGCUCAGUUCGGAUUGCAGUCUGCAACUCGACUGCAUGAAGCCGGAAUCGCUAGUAAUGGCGCAUCAGAUCGGCGCCGUGAAUACGUUCCCGGGCCUUGUACACACCGAUAGC